ACCGUUAUAACCGGCGAUUUCCGAAUGGGGAAACCCAGUGUGACUCGUCACACUAUCAUUAACUGAAUCCAUAGGUUAAUGAGGCGAACCGGGGGAACUGAAACAUCUAAGUACCCCGAGGAAAAGAAAUCAACCGAGAUUCCCCCAGUAGCGGCGAGCGAACGGGGAGGAGCCCAGAGCCUGAAUCAGCAUGUGUGUUAGUGGAAGCGUCUGGAAAGGCGCGCGAUACAGGGUGACAGCCCCGUACACAAAAGCGCAUGUGCUGUGAGCUCGAUGAGUAGGGCGGGACACGUGGUAUCCUGUCUGAAUAUGGGGGGACCAUCCUCCAAGGCUAAAUACUCCUGACUGACCGAUAGUGAACCAGUACCGUGAGGGAAAGGCGAAAAGAACCCCGGCGAGGGGAGUGAAAAAGAACCUGAAACCGUGUACGUACAAGCAGUGGGAGCACCCUUUGGGGUGUGACUGCGUACCUUUUGUAUAAUGGGUCAGCGACUUAUAUUCUGUAGCAAGGUUAACCGUAUAGGGGAGCCGUAGGGAAACCGAGUCUUAACCGGGCGUUAAGUUGCAGGGUAUAGACCCGAAACCCGGUGAUCUAGCCAUGGGCAGGUUGAAGGUUGGGUAACACUAACUGGAGGACCGAACCGACUAAUGUUGAAAAAUUAGCGGAUGACCUGUGGCUGGGGGUGAAAGGCCAAUCAAACCGGGAGAUAGCUGGUUCUCCCCGAAAGCUAUUUAGGUAGCGCCUCGUGAAUUCAUCUCCGGGGGUAGAGCACUGUUUCGGCUAGGGGGCCAUCCCGGCUUACCAACCCGAUGCAAACUGCGAAUACCGGAGAAUGUUAUCACGGGAGACACACGGCGGGUGCUAACGUCCGUCGUGAAGAGGGAAACAACCCAGACCGCCAGCUAAGGUCCCAAAGUCAUGGUUAAGUGGGAAACGAUGUGGGAAGGCCCAGACAGCCAGGAUGUUGGCUUAGAAGCAGCCAUCAUUUAAAGAAAGCGUAAUAGCUCACUGGUCGAGUCGGCCUGCGCGGAAGAUGUAACGGGGCUAAACCAUGCACCGAAGCUGCGGCAGCGACACUGUGUGUUGUUGGGUAGGGGAGCGUUCUGUAAGCCUGUGAAGGUGUGUCGUGAGGCAUGCUGGAGGUAUCAGAAGUGCGAAUGCUGACAUAAGUAACGAUAAAGCGGGUGAAAAGCCCGCUCGCCGGAAGACCAAGGGUUCCUGUCCAACGUUAAUCGGGGCAGGGUGAGUCGACCCCUAAGGCGAGGCCGAAAGGCGUAGUCGAUGGGAAACGGGUUAAUAUUCCCGUACUUGGUGUUACUGCGAAGGGGGGACGGAGAAGGCUAUGUUGGCCGGGCGACGGUUGUCCCGGUUUAAGCGUGUAGGUGUGUGUUCCAGGUAAAUCCGGUU
rnacentral:rRNA from 1 species